rnacentral:rRNA from 1 species
UGGCGCGUGGUUAAGACAUGCAAGUCGAACGAGAGAAUUGCUAGCUUGCUAAUAAUUCUCUAGUGGCGCACGGGUGAGUAACACGUGAGUAACCUGCCCCCGAGAGCGGGAUAGCCCUGGGAAACUGGGAUUAAUACCGCAUAGUAUCGAAAGAUUAAAGCAGCAAUGCGCUUGGGGAUGGGCUCGCGGCCUAUUAGUUAGUUGGUGAGGUAACGGCUCACCAAGGCGAUGACGGGUAGCCGGUCUGAGAGGAUGUCCGGCCACACUGGAACUGAGACACGGUCCAGACACCUACGGGUGGCAGCAGUCGAGAAUCAUUCACAAUGGGGGAAACCCUGAUGGUGCGACGCCGCGUGGGGGAAUGAAGGUCUUCGGAUUGUAAACCCCUGUCAUGUGGGAGCAAAUUAAAAAGAUAGUACCACAAGAGGAAGAGACGGCUAACUCUGUGCCAGCAGCCGCGGUAAUACAGAGGUCUCAAGCGUUGUUCGGAAUCACUGGGCGUAAAGCGUGCGUAGGCUGUUUCGUAGGUCGUGUGUGAAAGGCGCGGGCUCAACCCGCGGACGGCACAUGAUACUGCGAGACUAGAGUAAUGGAGGGGGAACCGGAAUUCACGGUGUAGCA